AAAAAGAUAAACCUGGUUUCUGUGUCCAACGUUUGACAGUCCGUUUUAUUUGAAAAUAUUAUGAAAAAAAUUAAAAAGAUAAGUCACACAUAAAUUAUUAAUUAUGUUUUAUCAUCUAACAACAAUGAAAAUACUAAUUAUAAAAAAAAAUUAUAUAAGACAGACAGUCAAACGUUGGCACGGAAACCAGGGUUUGAUUUUUC
rfam:Oryza barthii chromosome 3, whole genome shotgun sequence.